CCUUCAGGACGGGGAUAACAGUUGGAAACGACUGCUAAGACCGGAUGUGCCGAGAGGUGAAAUAUUUAUAGCCUGAAGAUGAGCUCGCGUCCGAUUAGCUAGUUGGUAAGGUAAAAGCUUACCAAGGCGACGAUCGGUAGCUGGUCUGAGAGGACGAUCAGCCACACUGGGACUGAGACACGGCCCAGACUCCUACGGGAGGCAGCAGUGGGGAAUUUUCCGCAAUGGGCGAAAGCCUGACGGAGCAAGACCGCGUGGGGGAGGAAGGUUCUUGGAUUGUAAACCCCUUUUCUCAGGGAAGAACACAAUGACGGUACCUGAGGAAUCAGCAUCGGCUAACUCCGUGCCAGCAGCCGCGGUAAUACGGAGGAUGCAAGCGUUAUCCGGAAUAAUUGGGCGUAAAGCGUCCGUAGGUGGCUGUUCAAGUCUGCCGUUAAAGACCGGGGCUUAACCCUGGAAAGGCGGUGGAAACUGAACGGCUAGAGUGCAGUAGGGGUAGAGGGAAUUCCCGGUGUAGCGGUGAAAUGCGUAGAGAUCGGGAAGAACACCGGUGGCGAAAGCGCUCUGCUGGACUGCAACUGACACUGAGGGACGAAAGCUAGGGGAGCGAAAGGG
rnacentral:rRNA from 1 species